rnacentral:rRNA from 1 species
CACGUAGGGCGCAAGCGUUGUCCGGAAUUAUUUGGCGUAAAGAGCUCGUAGGUGGUUUGCUGCGUCCGCUGUGAAAACCCAAGGCUUAACCUUGGGCUUGCAGUUGAUACGGGCAGACUAGAGGUAGGUAGGGGAGAAUGGAAUUCCCGGUGUAGCGGUGAAAUGCGCAGAUAUCGGGAGGAACACCGGUGGCGAAGGCGGUUCUCUGGGCCUUACCUGACGCUGAGGAGCGAAAGCGUGGGGAGCGAACAGG